UUCAAUACCUGUAACGGCAAUGAAUCAAAAUGUUUCAAAUUAUUGUUGUUCAUUCAUGGAUUUGACAUUAUAGAUCCUAUUUCAAUACCAUGGAUUUUUUGCUGUAAAGAACUAACUUUAUUGUUCUGAUCAAGUCUGGUUAAGUUUUAAUAUGCUAUUUCAAAUGAAGAAGUCCUAAAUUUAUUGGCCUACAAUUGUGCCAGAUGCAACUCAGUGCAAGAUCAGCAAGCUCAUUCAUUUGACUGGGCUACCAGGCAGAAAGGAAUUUAUGUCUUGAAGAGGCUAAUGAUAUGGGUGCUUUUAGCAUUCACACAAUUUGUUGAAGAGACAGCACAAGAGAACUCUUUGUCUCAGCUACACUUUGAAACUGCAACAACUUGAAGGAUUUCAGUGCAUCAUGAAGGAAUGGGACCAGCUCUCGGGGUUUCACGACUGGCCGUUAUUCUAUAUGCCAAGGAUGUGGCCUAAGAGAUUAGCUCAACUUCGUGGCUCUGGAGAUGGGCGGACCAAAGGUAACUGCAAGAUCACAUGGGAAAAUUAAGUCCUAGGAAACUUCCCAGGAAAAUUAGUUAAUCUGUAUUUGCACAUUCAAUGGGUAGAUUUUAAAAUAUCCUCUUCCAAAAUACUUAUGUACUUCUUAGGCUGAAUUGAAAAGGGUUAAAGAAUCAUUAUUAUGUGUCUAGUUGAACUGAGGAUAUUUUCACUAAUAGUUUUGCAGUUAAAAAGGGCCAUUCAAGAAGACAGAGAAAAUUAGAGCAAGUUCAAGCAUGUAUCAGAAACCAAUGUGAUACUGUAUUUCUUUAUUGUAUUUUUUUUGCCUCUGACAGUUGCUGUUUUCUACUAUCCCUCUGAUAAAAUAAAACAGAAUUUUAUGCAUUCCAGGACAUAAAUGAAUUAUCUUUGCAUACAUAUAUUGCUGAUAGUAUGUUAAAAGAAACCAAAAUUGUGUGCAUCAUGCUGAUUUCUUUAUAUCUACCAAUUCCCUCAUCAUGACUCGGCUUCUGCAUUACUUACAUGCUUGCUUCAAUGUACUUCAAAUAAAACUAAUUAAAUACAUUUUUUUUUGUCAACAAAACUUUCCUCCACCUCACGGCUACAUGACAAGUGAACAGAUGGCAAUUUAAGGACAGAAUUUAUGAUAGCCACAAUCUUAAUGUUGCAUAAAGAAAAGAAAAGGCUUGCAUCAAAACCACUGACAAAUGUACUUGCUAAUAUUAAUGCACUCCCUACUCAUCCAAUAUGCUUCCUAAUUGCUUUUCUGUACAUAAUAAUGUGGCACCUGCUGCUCAACAUUGCAGACACAUCAGGCUUUCUCCAAAGUCAAACAGAUAUGCAACUGGCCCUCUCCCAGUGAUAAAUGUAGAGCGCUGUAUCACACACAGUUCCUGUCACUGGCAUAAUUAAAAUUUUAUAGUUACAGAAAGAGAUAGUAAACAGAGUUCUAUAAAUGAAUGCAUGAUUGUGAAAGCAUGCUUCUGCCAACUUAAUGAUUAGCAUGCAUCAUGGGCUGUUAAUAAUUCCUGAUACCAGAAAGUAAGUGGACACGUUUUACUGACUUCAUAUUGUUUAAUUUAUUUUUCACAUUGUAUUGUUACAUCAACACAAAAGAAGCCCUGCAGAGUGUUACAAUAAUCUCAAAUUUCUGCAGCAGCAGCAAACAAACAUACCUAAAUACAAUUUAAAAUUGUCACAGGUAUAUGUUGCAAAUAAAUAAAAAAUUCAAAUGUUUCACUCGUUGCUUGUAGGAAUGCGUGCAAUA